rnacentral:lncRNA from 1 species
CUCAAACAUAAACACAUAUUUAUAUGUAUGUAACAAUAACUUAUAAUAUUAUUUACAAUUAAUCCACAAAAUGAUUAAUAUUUAGACACCCUAGGUACAUGCCGACACAAAAGGAAAAACAUCACCACGUUUAAGUUGGGGAUCGUUGUUGGAUGCUGAAUCGAUGGUCAAAAUUAAGUACCUAACCUACGCACGGAAAACAAA